GGGAAGAUCUUCAAUGUUGGUAGUUGAAGCUGAACUGUAAACUCAGUGAUAUUUAUCCUCGUGUGUUCAAUUCACACUCUUCUCA
rfam:Pichia membranifaciens DNA, contig: CON366, strain: KS47-1.